rnacentral:lncRNA from 1 species
CCAGGAAUGAGCUCAGUGACCACUUGGAUGCUAUGGACUCCAACCUGGAUAACCUGCAGACCAUGCUGAGCAGCCACGGCUUCAGCGUGGACACCAGUGCCCUGCUGGACCUGUUCAGCCCCUCGGUGACCGUGCCCGACAUGAGCCUGCCUGACCUUGACAGCAGCCUGGCCAGUGUGCGUAGGCGGGCGGGGGGUGAGGGGGAACGAGACCAGCGGGAGUGCUCACAAUACCGUCUCCACCCCACAGAUCCAAGAGCUCCUGUCUCCCCAGGAGCCCCCCAGGCCUCCCGAGGCAGAGAACAGCAGCCCGGAUUCAGCUGGUGCACUACACAGCGCAGCCGCUGUUCCUGCUGGACCCCGGCUCCGUGGACACCGGGAGCAACGACCUGCCGGUGCUGUUUGAGCUGGGAGAGGGCUCCUACUUCUCCGAAGGGGACGGCUUCGCCGAGGACCCCACCAUCUCCCUGCUGACAAGCUCGGAGCCUCCCAAAGCCAAGGACCCCACUGUCUCCUAGAGGCCCUGGAGGAGCUGGGCCAGCCGCCCACCCCCAGCCCCAGUGCAGGGCUGGUCUUGGGGAGGCAGGGCAGCCUCGCGGUCUUGGGCACUGGUGGGUCGGCCGCCAUAGCCCCAGUAGGACAAACGGGCUCGGGUCUGGGCAGCACCUCUGGUCAGGAGGGUCACCUUGGCCUGCCAGUCUGCCUUCCCCCAACCCCGUGUCCUGUGGUUUGGUUGGGGCUUCACAGCCACACCUGGACUGACCCUGCAGGUUGUUCAUAGUCAGAAUUGUAUUUUGGAUUUUUACACAACUGUCCCGUUCCCCGCUCCACAGAGAUAUACAGAUAUAUACACACAGUGGAUGGACGGACAAGACAGGCAGAGAUCUAUAAACAGGCUCU